AUUGAACGCUGGCGGCAGGCCUAACACAUGCCAGUCGAGCGGAUGAAGGGAGCUUGCUCCUGGAUUCAGCGGCGGACGGGUGAGUAAUGCCUGGGAAUCUCCCUGGUAGUGGGGGAUGACGUCCGGAAACGGGCGCUACUACCGCCUACGUCCUGAGGGUGCAAGUGGGGGAUCUUCGGACCUCACGCUAUCAGAUGAGCCUAGGUCGGAUUAGCUAGUUGGUGGGGUAAAGGCCUACCAAGGCGACGAUCCGUAGAUGGUCGGAGAGGAGGAUCAGCCACACUGGAACUGGGACAGGGACCAUGCUCCUACGGGAGGCAGCAGUGGGGAAUAGUGGACAAUGGGCGAAAGCCUGAUCCAGCCAUGCCGCGUGUGUGAAGAAGGUCUUCGGAGUGUAAAGCACUUUAAGGUGGGAGGAAGGGCAGUAAGUUAAUACGUUGCUGUUUUGACGUUACCAACAGAAUAAGCACCGGCUAACUUCGUG
rnacentral:rRNA from 1 species